GCAGACACAUUCCAGCCAAUCAGCAGCAGACCCUCCCUCCCAGACCCUCCACCUCCUGGACAGCUCACUAAGAAUGCAGCUUCACAAUGAAUGUAAAAUGGAUGCUGUCCAGGAGGUGGGAGGGUCUGGGAGGGAGGGUCUGCUGCUGAUUGGCUGGAAUAUGUCUG
rnacentral:miRNA from 1 species